GAUGGACGCUGGCGGCGUGCCUAAUACAUGCAAGUCGAGCGAACAGACGAGGAGCUUGCUCCUCUGACGUUAGCGGCGGACGGGUGAGUAACACGUGGAUAACCUACCUAUAAGACUGGGAUAACUUCGGGAAACCGGAGCUAAUACCGGAUAAUAUAUUGAACCGCAUGGUUCAAUAGUGAAAGACGGUUUUGCUGUCACUUAUAGCUGGAUCCGCGCCGCAUUAGCUAGUUGGUAAGGUAACGGCUUACCAAGGCAACGAUGCGUAGCCGACCUGAGAGGGUGAUCGGCCACACUGGAACUGAGACACGGUCCAGACUCCUACGGGAGGCAGCAGUAGGGAAUCUGCCGCAAUGGGCGAAAGCCUGACGGAGCAACGCCGCGUGAGUGAUGAAGGUCUUCGGAUCGUAAAACUCUGUUAUUAGGGAAGAACAAAUGUGUAAGUAACUAUGCACGUCUUGACGGUACCUAAUCAGAAAGCCACGGCUAACUACGUG
rnacentral:rRNA from 1 species